GCGGCCUGGCCCGAUCGGUAGGGCCGCGACCUCCCCAUCCGCCUGCGCGGGUUCGCUUCCCGUGGUCCACUCCA
rnacentral:tRNA from 1 species